rnacentral:tRNA from 1 species
GUUCUAAUAAUUUAAAAAAAAUACUGGUCUUGUAAAUCAGAAACGAGUUUAACUCUUAGAACU